AGCGAACGCUGGCGGCAGGCUUAACACAUGCAAGUCGAGCGGGCACUUUCGGGUGUCAGCGGCGGACGGGUGAGUAACGCGUGGGAACGUGCCCUCUGGUUCGGAAUAACUCAGGGAAACUUGAGCUAAUACCGGAUACGCCCUUUUGGGGAAAGGCUUGCUGCCGGAGGAUCGGCCCGCGUCUGAUUAGCUAGUUGGUGAGGUAACGGCUCACCAAGGCGACGAUCAGUAGCUGGUCUGAGAGGAUGAUCAGCCACACUGGGACUGAGACACGGCCCAGACUCCUACGGGAGGCAGCAGUGGGGAAUAUUGGACAAUGGGCGCAAGCCUGAUCCAGCCAUGCCGCGUGAGUGAUGGAGGCCUUAGGGUUGUAAAGCUCUUUUAUCCGGGACGAUAAUGACGGUACCGGAGGAAUAAGCCCCGGCUAACUUCGUG
rnacentral:rRNA from 1 species